rnacentral:rRNA from 1 species
AACGCGAAGAACCUUACCUAGAUUUGACAUCCACUGACAUCCGUAGAAGUACGGCUUUCCCUUCGGGGACAGUGAGACAGGUGCUGCAUGGCUGUCGUCAGCUCGUAUCGUGAGAUGUCGGGUUAAGUCCCUUAACGAGCGCAACCCUUAUCCCUAGUUGCCAUCAUUUAGUUGGGCACUCUAUGGAGACUGCCGGUGUUAAACCGGAGGAAGGCGGGGAUGACGUCAAGUCCUCAUGGCCUUUAUAUCUAGGGCUACACACGUGCUACAAUGGCCGGUACAAAGGGUAGCCAACCCGCGAGGGGGAGCUAAUCUCAGAAAGCCGGUCUCAGUUCGGAUUGAAGUCUGCAACUCGACUUCAUGAAGCUGGAAUCGCUAGUAAUCGCGGAUCAGAACGCCGCGGUGAAUACGUUCCCGGGUCUUGUACACACCGAAU